GCCACCGUAGCUCAGUUGGUAGAGCAACGCAUUCGUAAUGCGUAGGUCAGCGGUUCGAGCCCGCUUGGUGGCU
rnacentral:tRNA from 2 species